rnacentral:rRNA from 1 species
ACGAACGCUGGCGGCGUGCUUAACACAUGCAAGUCGAACGGAAAGGCCCCUUUGGGGGUACUCGAGUGGCGAACGGGUGAGUAACACGUGAGUAACCUGCCCUUGACUUCGGGAUAACUUUAGGAAACUGGGGCUAAUACCGGAUAGGAAUCCUUGCUGCAUGGUGGGGGUUGGAAAGCUUCGGCGGUUUUGGAUGGACUCGCGGCUUAUCAGCUUGUUGGUGGGGUAGUGGCUUACCAAGGCUUUGACGGGUAGCCGGCCUGAGAGGGCGACCGGCCACAUUGGGACUGAGAUACGGCCCAGACUCCUACGGGAGGCAGCAGUGGGGAAUAUUGCACAAUGGGCGGAAGCCUGAUGCAGCAACGCCGCGUGCGGGAUGACGGCCUUCGGGUUGUAAACCGCUUUCAGCAGGGGCGAAGCUUGUGGUGACGGUACCUGCAGAAGAAGCACCGGCUAACUACGUG